UACGGGGGGGGCAAGCGUUGUUCGGAAUUACUGGGCGUAAAGGGCUCGUAGGCGGCCAACUAAGUCAGACGUGAAAUCCCUCGGCUUAACCGGGGAACUGCGUCUGAUACUGGAUGGCUGGAGUCUGGGAGAGGGAUGCGGAAUUCCAGGUGUAGCGGUGAAAUGCGUAGAUAUCUGGAGGAACACCGGUGGCGAAGGCGGCAUCCUGGACCAAUACUGACGCUGAGGAGCGAAAGCCAGGGGAGCAAACGGG
rnacentral:rRNA from 1 species